rnacentral:tRNA from 1 species
UUCCCAGUAGCUCAGUUGGUAGAGCGCCGCACUGUUAAUGCGGAUGUCGUUGGUUCGAGACCAGCCUGGGGAGCCA